GGGUCAGUAGGCUGGUCGUGCCACCGGUACGUACUGGUCUCACUGAUCCCUCCUUCCUGAAGAACCGUAAUGCCAUUAAUUUGGUGUUGCGGGGAAACAGGACUGUUACUUUGAAAGAAUUAGAGUGUUUAAAGCAAGCUAACGCUUGAAUACAUUAGCAUGGAAUAAUGAAAUAGGACGAUCGAUCCUAUUUUGUUGGCUUCUAGGAUUGACGUA
rnacentral:rRNA from 1 species